GUUGCUUCCUGGUAUUGCUGGUAUUCUGAGACAAGAUCGUUCAUAUUACUCUCAGCUUCAGUGAAUUCCAUCUCGUCCAUUCCUUCGCCA
rnacentral:sRNA from 1 species